CUGGAUGAUCAGCAGGUCACUGACCAGGAGAGGAGUCUCAACCAGGAGGACCCAGAGCCUCCACAGAUUAAAGAGGAACAGGAGGAAACCCACAGCAGUGAGGAAGGAGAGCAGCUUGAACUGAAGUAGGAGGAUGAAGGGAUUAAUGUCUGGACUGGAGAACAGCUGGAUUUGUUGUGUAAGCCUGGAUUACGGCUGAGCAGAAUAGACCUCCCACAGCAACAUGAUUGUAAGGAAAAUGAGGAUCUGGAUGACCCGCAGGUCUGUAGCCAGGAGAGGAACUCCAGUCUGGACCAGCAGGACACAGAUCCUCCACAGACUAAAGAUGAACAAGAGGAAAUCUCCACCAAUCAGGAAGAAGAGCAGCUUUCACUAAAGCAGGAAACCAAUAUGAAUUUUCCACAACAAGACUGUAAGGACAAAAACCCGCUUGUACUGAAGCAGAAGACUGAAACUUUUCCUGCUUUUCCUGAAGAAAGUGACCACAGUGACCCAGAACCAAGCAAUGAACAGCUACUUUCUCAAAACUUCAUUUUCAUAAGGUUUUUGGAAGCUCAGUUUCUGUUUUCACACAUGGACAAGACAAACAGAGUUUGUCUCGCAGCAUAAAAUUUGUGCACCUUUAUCACCUUUUUCUGAUGUUAUUGUUUUAUAGUUUAUGGGGUUUAUCUUGGCUGAAGUUUCUUCAUUUCUUUCGUCAUGGCAUUGGCAGUGCUUGAGAUAUUUUUGGUGUCUUGAUGUAAAAAGAACUAUUUCUCAAAAACACAAUUGGAAUUGUCUGUAUAAAAAAAAUACAUGUGUUCAUGAGGUAGCCUUAAUUAAAGCCAGUUGUUUAUCUGAAGUUCACAGUUUGAAGGUGUUUAAAGCAGCAAACAGUUGCAAUCACUUUUCGCUGACUUGCACACUGCUAGAAGUCCUGUUGUUGUUUUUGUUGUUUGUGGGGUUUUUUUUUACAUUUUCUUUACAUUGGCUUGACAUAUUUGGGAAGUGCUUUGUAUACAGAAAAGGAAUAUUUUCAUGAAUGACAAUGUUAAGCAGUUACUCAUAUUGUUUGUGACCCACAUACUUAGGUUGUUUAUUCUCUAUGUUUAUAUCAUAACUUGUACUGCUUUUAUGUGAGCACCUGUUGAUACCCAGCUGUUGUUUUGAGAUAUAAUAAUUUGGACUAAUGUGUAACUUUAACAGUGUUCCAUUUUUAAUGGUUUGUGAUAUGUUGGUUGGUAGAAACUGAAACUGGAUUUGAAGAUGCACUUGGUAAUUAUUUUAUAUAUAUGUGAGUCACUUUGAUGGUCCAAACUGUCCAAAGUUGUAGAAACCCAUAAUUUGUGAAAUUUAUAGCUUACAUUUAGCUGUGCAAAUUGAUUUAAAGGCAUAAAAAUAUCUGUAGUAUUAAUUGCUUCUUACUAUGAGGUUGGCAUAACAGUCAUUAUUCCUGACCCUAUGGGCUGACCUUGCC